GACCUCACCUGUACAGCUCACCUGUACAACUCCCUGUCUGCAGCUCACCUGUCUGCAGCUCACCUGUCUGACCUCACCUGUCUGCAGCUCACCUCUCACCUGUACAGCUCACCUGUCUGACCUCACCUGUCUGCAGCUCACCUCUCACCUUACACCUCACCUGUCUGACCUCACCUUACAGCUCACCUGUACAACUCACCUGUCUGCAGCUCACC